rnacentral:rRNA from 1 species
GUGCCAGCAGCCGCGGUAAUACCGGCAGCUCGAGUGAUGUCCAAUAUUAUUGGGCCUAAAGCGUCCGUAGCUGGCCGCGCAAGUCCGUCGGGAAAUCCACUCGCCCAACGAGUGGGCGUCCGACGGAAACUGCACAGCUUGGGACCGGAAGGCUCGAAGGGUACGUUCGGGGUAGGAGUGAAAUCCCAUAAUCCCGCACGGACCACCGAUGGCGAAAGCACUUCGAGAAAACGGAUCCGACAGUGAGGGACGAAAGCCAGGGUCUCCAACCGGAUUAGAAACCCCUGUAGUCC